GAUGAACGCUGGCGGCGCGCCUAACACAUGCAAGUCGAACGAUUAAAGCACCUUCGGGUGUGUAUAAAGUGGCGAACGGCUGAGUAACACGUGGGCAACCUGCCCCUCUCAUUGGGAUAGCCACGGGAAACCGUGGAUAAUACCGAAUACUUCGGGACUUCCGCAUGGAAGACUCGAGAAAGCUCCGGCGGAGAGGGAUGGGCCCGCGGCCUGUUAGCUUGUUGGUGGGGUAAUGGCCUACCAAGGCAAUGAUGGGUAGCUGGGUUGAGAGACCGACCAGCCAGAUUGGGACUGAGACACGGCCCAGACUCCUACGGGAGGCAGCAGUGGGGAAUCUUGCACAAUGGGCGAAAGCCUGAUGCAGCGACGCCGCGUGCGGGAUGAAGGCCUUCGGGUUGUAAACCGCUUUCAGCAGGGACGAGGCGAAAGUGACGGUACCUGCAGAAGUAGCCCCGGCUAACUACGUG
rnacentral:rRNA from 1 species